AAGUAAUGAAGUAAAAAAUUACAUUUAGUUUCGACCUAAAAAAUAGAGGUUAAACCUCCUUACUUA
rnacentral:tRNA from 1 species